UUUUGCAUCUUAAGUCUUCAUUUUUAGUUAAAGCUGUUAAGUUAUAAAGCAAUAUCUCAAGUAGGGUUUUUCCUUUGUGUUUUAUAAAAUGACCACUAGGAGGUGCUCUAGACACGUUUUCCUUGAUUGGUUUUACAUGGAGAAAUACACAGCUACUUGAAUGAUUAUUUCUAAGUUUUAUUUCUAUUUCUAAACUGCUGUCAUCCACAUUACAUCAUUGCUCUAACCGAUGUUACCUGAAGAAUCCUUUCAGCGUGGCAGAUAUUCUCAAGCAUCUGGAGCCAAACUUAUGUUUGUACAAAGUUACACCAUAUCACUGAAUACAGCACACAUCAACAAGAUUUCAGAGACUCUGCGUGACAUUUUAAAUGUGUCAGGGUGUGCAUGAUGUCAACAUGAAACCGUAGCCCUCUGUGCUCCUCAUACCUGUGUGAGGAGGACCCACAAUUCUUCAAGACUUGAAAUGUAAGUAUUCAAUGCAUUAAAGGAACACUCCACUUUUUUUGAAAAUAGGCUCAUUUUCCAACUCCCCUAGAGUUAAACAGUUGAGUUUUACCGUUUUCGAAUCCAUUCAGCCGAUCUCUGGUUCUGACGGUACCACUUUUAGCAUAGCUUAGCAUAGUUCAUUGAAUCUGAUUAGACCGUUAGCAUCUCACUUAAAAAUCUAGAGUUUCAAUAGUAAACGUUUUGGCUGGGUAUCAAAUUUAAAUGA